CUGAAGGCUAGGUUAGGGCUGCUGGUGAUGGCAAGGUGUCUGAGCCAAGUUCAGUUAUGGUAGAAUGCCCAUUCCUGCUAAGCAAAGAUGUGUGGUUCUCCAGGGCAAAUUGAGGGCUUAAGGCAGGGAGAGGAGAGGAGAAGGCAGAUGGUAGCAGGGCAGGGUCUGGCUUUUGAAUGGACUUGCUUUACCUGGCUGCUGCUGCAGCCUACAUUAAUGUGCUACAUAAAGAAUGAGAGUUCCUGCUUGCUGUGCCGUUGGCCCUUGUGGAGUCUUUAUCAACCCUGACAAAUCUUUGUUUAAACUUCUGCUCCGUGAUGGAGAAAAUUUCUCCUCCUCGGGUUGUUCCACUUCCUUCUGUUGAGAAGGCUCUCUAAACCCUAACCUGUGAUUUAAGCCCAUCAUUCACUACUUCCACUCCUGGUGGCUGAUGAUUCACAGUUUAACAGAUAUCCCUGCACAAAGGCCGUGCUGGUGAGGGCUGUUCCCAGCCAGAUGUGCUGGGAUGAACAUUGGCAGCAUGGAAAGAAGACAGUGAACUAGCAGAUGCCUGUGUCACCAAAGGGUAGGCAUUUUCAAAUGUAUAUAUGAAACCCGAGCCGGGAGAGGAAAGGGAAUCGGAGCACAAAAAGAUCAAAAAGGAUGCUGUGAAGGAUGAGUCAAAAGUAACUGCAGCAGAACUGAACAGCCAUCAUCUGUUUGGUGAUGAGAGAGAAAGGGGAAAAGUGAGGGAACAUUUCAGUGGAGUGGCUGAGCUCUGACUUUAUCUGUUUGUAAGCCCAGGGAGAGAAGGCAGCCCCAGUGCUUAGUGCUGGGAUGUGAUGUACGGCGUGCUGUGCUAAGACGCUGCGGAGGUUUCUUUACACUGAACAGCAAGGGGGUGGCUUUGAGCUCUGCUUCUUGUCAGCUGUGAACACUGUGAGCGAUCCUGGUUUAACUCCGCUUUCCUCCUCGCCGUGCUGUCCUUACCACACUCUCAUCCUUAAAAGAAAAAAAACCCCAAAAGCGUGACAACGUGUCAGUGCUGUACGAAUGCAAGGAAACGAACACGGGAUGAAGGAAGAGCAGAAUGGAUGCAUCACAGGCAUGCUGCAGCCACCCAUCGCCCAGCAAAACUGGUUUUGUCUGACAAAAAACCAGAACCACUGCCAGGACAUUUUGCUUCGGUUUAGGUUUAUUUGCUAGAAUUGUUUGUGGUUAGGAACGAGAGCAAGGUUCACUUGUAAUAAUAACGUAACCAUGGCAAUAUGUAACACAAGCUGAUGUCAGUCUGACUCGCUGAUAAGAUUUAUGUCCUAAUAUAUUAUCCAAUGCAAUUAAGAAAUGAUUAGAAAAUUAACAUUAGAAUAGAUUAAAAUAAAGUAUUAGAGGUCUCGUGGCAGCUGUGGGUCUGAAGCACGGUCCCCAAGUGGUUGUUUCUGGAUAAUGUAUCACCCUGCCCCAGACGUGCUGCGUUACAGCAAGGAAAGCAAUUGCCUUCAUUUUACAAACAGGGAAUUGUAACGUUCCUCUUAAUUUCUGCAAUUUCCUGCACUCGUUUCAGCGUGGCCAGACAGAAAUUAACCCAGGAAAUGCAACAAGUGCUAUCUGCUCUCAUUUCAUCUAAAAUGAGCUGAAUGGUCAGGAGGGCUGGAGGAUGGAGAGACAACUGUGUGCAUCCGGGUGUGAGCUUUGCUUGCUACCUCAGGCAGUGGUAUGAGGUAGCAAUGAGGUAUUGCUACCUCGGGUCAGUGAGAUGGGCGUCUGGAACUCAUGCCUGUUUGGUGCCUUGGUUUCUCUGUUGGCAAAAUGCACAGAGAUGACAGCUCUAGCAAAACUCUGGAGCCGAACCGAUGUGUUUUAGACUCACUGCCCAUCACAUGACUAUUGCUUUCUUGGGACUGCAGUUAUAGGACCAGUGGCAGCCGUCUGCUGUUUCUCAUCUUGUAAGCUCUGUGGGGCAGAGCCACUUCUUUAUUUGCAGCAUUGCUCCCACCUGGCAAUAUAAUCAUAAGAGGUGAGCCAGGAUAAUCAAAGACGACAAGCAUUUUCAUAACCGCCUCUGCACCAGGCAGAAUUACACCUCUCAACACAUCCUAGCAACAGAGCUCCUCCUUCACAUUCCCUCUUUCUUUGCAAAUAACUCACUGACUCCAUCCUUGCAGUUUCCACGUGCAAAUUUAAGAUGGGGAGACUGGGAGGCCCUGGCACUGCUGCCCAGACCUGUGGGUGCCCCAUCCCUGGAGGUGCCCAAGGCCAUGGAUGGGGCCCUGGGCAGCCUGAGCUGAUGGGGCGCAACCCAACCCACGGCAGGGAGCUGGAACUGGAUGAUCCCUUCCAACCCAAACCAUUCUAUGAGUCUAAGAUUUUUCUUUGGGGAUUAUCAGUUGAUUAACCCAGUGAAUGCACAGCCACUGGACAACGAAGUGUAAGAAUAAGUCCUCCAGGCAUUUGGUUGGCCAGGAGAGGAAAUGUUUCUGGAUUUGGAGACUUUUUUUCAUACGAGCUCUAUUACUAAGCCCUUACCAAGAGUUUUGGGACGUUUCAUUUGCUAAGAAAGAGGCCUCCAAAGGUCAUCCAGUUGGAGCUCAUCUGAGGACUUGGAACCUCCCUCUUGCCUCAUGCUGUUUUUUCUCUGGAACAAAUGACUGCAAUGUAACUGGCAGGGGAGGAGCCAAUCUUCCCAGUCCCCUUGUUCCUACCUUGAUUAAAGCAAAUGCUUUACAUGAGGAUGAUACCUGGCAAAGGCAGCCUUCUGUCCAGCCUCUCCUCUCACUGCCCUCCUCUGGUUCCAUUUUUCACCUAUAUUCCACUACCUGUGGAUGGACUUCUUGUCCUGCUGCUUACGGACUCUUUAUUUAGAAUCACAGGAACUUAGAAUCAUUAAGGUUGGAAAAAAACCUCCCAGAUCCCCAAGCCCAGCCCACCACCCCAUACCCACUGCCCACAUCUUUCAGUGCCACAUCUCCAUGGCUCUGGAACACCUUCAGGGACGGUGACCCCACCACUCCCUGGGCAGCUGUGCCACUGCAUCACCACUCCUGUAGAGAAGAAAUGUUUCCUAAAAUCCAACCUGAACUUCCCCUGGAGCAACUUGAAGCCAUCACUUCUCAUCUUCAAGUUGCUUUCUGCACAGUAUCACCCUAACCAAAUUAAAGGGACUGUAUUUCAUGCUCAUUCUCUUUGGUCUUCUUGCUGCCUUCGAACUCUGCCUUUCUGGGUUCUCCCUCUGCUCCUCUCCAUGACCCACACUCUGCUGAGCAUCCCCCUUGUUCUUGCAGCCUUCUGUGACUCUUCCAUCACCCCCAGUGUCUCAGACCACAUCUUUUCUUUCUGCUGUUCUCAUCAUUUUCACGUUCCUUGCUGGCUGCUCAUCAUACACCUCUUACACUGCUGUCCAGCCUUCUAAGUCCCACCACUUCUCUGGCACUUUAUUAUUCCUCUGUCCGUGUGGUGAAACCUGAGCAUCUCUGUUACAGGUUGCCUUUCCCUUCCUCUUAGGUGCUCCCAGCCACGCGGUGAGUUUGGUUUAGUAGAGCCAAGCUGCGUUCUCCUCUCCACGUGAUGCAUGCAGCUGACAGGUUUGGCAGUUCUCGUGUUGCUUUUCCUUCCUGCAACUGAUGCGCUGUGAAGGAUGAACAUGGAAAUGUAAGCAGGGAGAACAGGAGGCUGGCAGCAUCCUGUCCUCUUCAGAGUGGAAGAGCUGCCUUGGGAAGGAGGAAUUGGACAGAAAUCUGCAAUAACUGGCAAAAUAAAUAAAUCUGAGCAUUAAGGCAGCAGCUAGCCAGCACUGCAUUUUACAUUUGAAGCUACGUCUACCCUGCACAGAGCACAAUAGCACAGAAAGAGUUGAAAUAGCUCUGCAUAAAUAUUGCAUGAAGCCUUAUGCACAAAUGUAUACGAAGCACGGAGCUACCUGCAAGAUCUGGCUGAAAAGCAUGAAGGAAAAUGUGGGCACUCUGUGGUCCCCUAUCUGGAGAGCUGCUGGUACUGGCCUGGGGAGGUAACUGGCAUUGCAACACAGCUCUCAGCACAAACAUGCUCAGAGGGUGCUGCGUGCCAAGCGCCGUGCAGGAGAUGAAGCCAUGGAGCAGGCUUUUAGGCUCUUUGUGACGACGCCCACCACCUACAGUGGAUGAAGCAGGUGCCUCGCACCCCACAACGUAUCCUGUGCUGCAGACAGCGUGGUAGCAGGAAGACAACCUCGUCUGAGAGCUCAGAGCCAGCACACCACAGCCACAGUCUGAGCAGCACAGGGUGAGCAUCUCACUACACCCAUGUCUGAGAGCUGCCCUAUGGCAGGCUACUGUGCUUCCAAACAAACCCCAUCUUGUGCGGGGCUCCCUGAGUGCUUCCUUCUCUCCCCUUCCAUUCCCCACCCCUCAGAACAAGCCCGGAAUGCAGUUUUUGUGCUAUUUGCACUGUAACAUUUUCCUUUUUUUUUUUUAUCUUCACCGUCUGCGUUUUUCCCCCUCC
rnacentral:lncRNA from 1 species